rnacentral:rRNA from 1 species
AGAGUUUGAUCCUGGCUCAGGACGAACGCUUGCGGCGUGCCUAAGAAAUGCAAGUCGAACGGGGCAGAGACUUCGGUCUUUGCUCAGUGGCGAACGGUCGCGUAACACGUAGGCAACCUGCCCUGGAGUGGGGGAUAACAGCCUGAAAGGGCUGCUAAUACCGCAUGUGGUCACCUUCACGCAUGUUUAGGUGUCCAAAGGCUGGAGCAAUCCAGUCGCUCUGGGAUGGGCUUGCGGCCUAUCAGCUUGUUGGUGGGGUAACGGCCUACCAAGGCGUUGACGGGUAGCUGGUCUGAGAGGAUGGUCAGCCGGAUUGGGACUGAGAUACGGCCCAGACUCCUACGGGGGGCAGCAAUUAGGAAUCUUGCGCAAUGGGGGCAACCCUGACGCAGCGACGCCGCGUGCGGGAUGAAGGCAUUCGUGUCGUAAACCGCUUUUGAUGGGGAAGAAGAAUGUGACGGUACCCAUCGAAUAAGCCCCGGCUAACUACGUGCCAGCAGCCGCGGUAAUACGUAGGGGGCGAGCGUUGUCCGAAGUUACUGGGCGUAAAGCGCGCGUAGGCGGUCCUUUAAGUCUGGUGUGAAAGGUUCAGGGCUCAACCCGAACAGUGCACUGGAUACUGGGGGACUUGAGUGCGGGAGAGGAGAGUGGAACUCCUGGUGUAGCGGUGAAAUGCGUAGAUAUCAGGAGGAACACCCGUGGCGAAGGCGGCUCUCUGGCCUGCAACUGACGCUGAGGCGCGAAAGCGUGGGGAGCGAACGGGAUUAGAUACCCCCGUAGUCC